UACAGAGGUCUCGAGCGUUAGGCGGAAUCACUGGGCUUAAAGCGUGUGUAGGCGGAUCGUUAAGUGCCUUGUGAAAUCCCACGGCUCAACCGUGGAACUGCUUGGCAUACUGGCGGUCUUGAGCAACCUAGGGGCGAGCGGAACAAAUGGUGGAGCGGUGAAAUGCGUAGAUAUCAUUUGGAACGCCAAUGGUGAAAACAGCUCGCUGGGGGUUUGCUGGACGCUGAGACGACGAAAGCCAGGG
rnacentral:rRNA from 1 species